rnacentral:rRNA from 1 species
AGCGAAUGAUGAGGAGCUUGCUCCUCUGAUUUAGCGGCGGACGGGUGAGUAACACGUGGGUAAUCUGCCUGUAAGACGGGGAUAACUCCGGGAAACCGGGGCUAAUACCGGAUAAUAAGAGAAGAAGCAUUUCUUCUUUUUGAAAGUCGGUUUCGGCUGACACUUACAGAUGAGCCCGCGGCGCAUUAGCUAGUUGGUGAGGUAACGGCUCACCAAGGCGACGAUGCGUAGCCGACCUGAGAGGGUGAUCGGCCACACUGGGACUGAGACACGGCCCAGACUCCUACGGGAGGCAGCAGUAGGGAAUCUUCGGCAAUGGGCGAAAGCCUGACCGAGCAACGCCGCGUGAGCGAUGAAGGCCUUCGGGUCGUAAAGCUCUGUUGUUAGAGAAGAACAAGUACGAGAGUAACUGCUCGUACCUUGACGGUACCUAACCAGAAAGCCACGGCUAACUACGUGCCAGCAGCCGCGGUAAUACGUAGGUGGCAAGCGUUAUCCGGAAUUAUUGGGCGUAAAGCGCGC